GGCUUGAAAGGUGUUGGCGGGCGGUAGAUGGGGCGAAAAGAUAAAGGACAGGUACUGAAAACGAU
ensembl:ncRNA B0414.10 ncRNA